ACCAGUUGGAAACGACUGUUAAUACCGCAUAAUGUCUACGGACCAAAGUGUGGGACCUUCGGGCCACAUGCUGUCGGAUGCGCCUACGUGGGAUUAGCUAGUUGGUGAGGUAAUGGCUCACCAAGGCGACGAUCCCUAGCUGGUUUGAGAGGAUGAUCAGCCACACUGGAACUGAGACACGGUCCAGACUCCUACGGGAGGCAGCAGUGGGGAAUAUUGGACAAUGGGCGCAAGCCUGAUCCAGCCAUGCCGCGUGUGUGAAGAAGGCCUUCGGGUUGUAAAGCACUUUCAGCGAGGAGGAAGGGUUGUGUGUUAAUAGCGCAUAACUUUGACGUUACUCGCAGAAGAAGCACCGGCUAACUCUGUGCCAGCAGCCGCGGUAAUACAGAGGGUGCAAGCGUUAAUCGGAAUUACUGGGCGUAAAGC
rnacentral:rRNA from 1 species